UACAGAGGGUGCAAGCGUUGUUCGGAAUUACUGGGCGUAAAGCGCGUGUAGGCUGCCCGUUAAGUCUCGUGUGAAAGCCCUGGGCUCAACCCAGGAAGUGCGCGAGAUACUGGUGGGCUGGAGUGACGGAGAGGAUGGCGGAAUACCCGGUGUAGAGGUGAAAUUCGUAGAUAUCGGGUGGCACACCUGUGGCGAAGGCGGCCAUCUGGACGUCAACUGACGCUGAGACGCGAAAGCGUGGGGAGCAAACAGG
rnacentral:rRNA from 1 species